rnacentral:rRNA from 1 species
CUACGGGAUGCAGCAGUGGGGAAUAUUGGACAAUGGGGGAAACCCUGAUCCAGCAAUGCCGCGUGUGUGAAGAAGGCCUGCGGGUUGUAAAGCACUUUCGGUUGGGAGGACUGCUUCUAGCACUAAUAUUGUUGGAAGUUGACGUUACCUUCAGAAGAAGCACCGGCUAACUCCGUGCCAGCAGCCGCGGUGAAUACGGAGGGUGCAAGCGUUAAUCGGAAUUACUGGGCGUAAAGCGCGCGUAGGCGGCUAGAUCAGUCGGGUGUGAAAGCCCCGGGCUUAACCUGGGCACUGCAUCCGAUACUGUCUAGCUUGAGUACAGGAGAGGAGAGUGGAAUUCCACAUGUAGCGGUGAAAUGCGUAGAUAUGGGGAGGAACACCAAUGGCGAAGGCAGCUCUCUGGCCUGAUACUGACGCUGAGGUGCGAAAGCGUGGGGAGCAAACAGGAUUAGAUACCCCCGUAGUC